rnacentral:lncRNA from 10 species
AGCGCAUCUGUGGUCCCCGCAUCUGGCCUGCGUCCAUCGUCCACCAGUCUGCUCACCUCCAGGCAGCCCCGUUUUCUAGGGCUGCCUCCGGUCCCACCCAGCGCUCCUGGUGGCUGUGCCUGGUGACUGGGACGACUUGGCAGUGUGGUCAGCGGCAUGGCCUCGUAAACUCCAGCUUCUGGAAAGGAGCUGGGCCUGGGCCUGAACGAUGGUGGUAGGACCCACUGCUGGACCCGGCCAGGUGGGUGACCCUCAAUCAGGAUCUGUUCAGUGGAUUAGUGAGGAAAUCUCCAGACCCUACGCUUCACUUUUGGGGGUGGGAACCUCCCCUCCCCAACCACCUGCCACAGGGAAGGAAAUACCAUGUGUGACAAAUAGAAUACAACUAUCAAAAGAACGCGAAAUGAGCCCCAUGAACGCCAGACCUUUCAGCCAAAUUCUAUUUGUACUGGGACAAUGAAAAAGUGACUCAUUUAUCCACAGAAGAGGGAAAGGCACGACUGCUAGGCAGAAGUAGUGUGCAUCUCCCGCCUUCUGUUUUGUGCCCCGAUGUGCCUAGAAGGUCACCCCAGCCCCUCCAGCCUCUGGGGAGAAGUUGGGCCUGGGCCUGAAUGAUGACACUGGGGCCCAUUGCUGGACCCGGCCGGGCGGGUGGCAAGGGCCCUGCUGCAGACUGGACGAGAAAGGCCAGUCCUGCAGUCUGACCAGGUGUAACCUCGGGGUGCGAAGCAGCUGAAGUGGACAUCCCGGGUGCAGUUUGCUUUGAGGGGUCAUCCCGGAGCAGCAGAAAUACCAUGUGUGACCCAUUUUAGAGAUGAGGAAAUGGAAGACUCCUCUGCUCUAGGGCCCCAGUUGUUGCCCCUGCCCUACUUCUCCCGAUCAACGCUGCCUCCUUAUUCAGAAAGCUCAAGAACCGAGUCCCCAGGAAAACGACAUGUUGUUUUUUUUGGCACUAAUCAUUAUUGUUUAAUUAUCCUGGGAGGGACAAUAAGAGGGAAGGAAGAAGGAGAAGGUGAGUCUGGAGGCAGGGCGCCUUCCCCGGGGCUGUGUUCAGCACCAGCACCGAAUGCUCUGGGAUGUCUGGGCAGAGGCUCAGAGACGCAGCUUGACUCAGAGGGAAGCUUAGUCCUGGGCCAGUUUUCAAGGGUUUCCUCUGUGUUCUGGUCCUGCGGGUGGGCACUGCUUGCUGUGUUCAGACACUGAUUAGAUUAGGGCAGCUUGCCAAAGACAGGUCCCUGCUAGAGCAGCCCUUGGUGGCCAGGACAUCGUGGUUGCCUGUGCCUCGGAGCCCUGGCUUUGCCCAGGUGGUCGCUUUGCAGCAUUGUGUGGCUGGGUUGGAGGCCAGGGUGCUGCCCACACGUGGGGCUGGCUGGAGCUCGGCAGUCCAGUCACAUGACUGGUCAGGGCCUCCUCAGCUCCUCCGUGCCCAGGGAGGGAGUGGGGCAUUCCCCAGUGACCUGUCACAGGUGGCACAGUUCCUGGGAUGGGAGGCCCAGUUCCCAUAGACCUAGGGCAGAUUUUUAUCCUGUUCUCAGAUGCCCACUGCAUCCAGGAAGCUCUGUGUCUCCUGUGGAGCAGGGCUGAGGCCAUCAGCUUGAGCUCAUUUCCCUGGGGCUUGGGGGUUCGUGUGGCCCCAGUCUGUGUCUCCCAGAUCAGCUGCUCCUCUUCCCUGGUCCAUGAGCAUUAGUGGGUUCUGGUCUGCCCAGUGGGCACCUUCUUCCACAUGAAGCAGUGGAAGCAGAAGCAGUGAACACUCCGGAAGGGUCCACUGUGUGCCAGGCUCAGGGACACAAAACUAGAUCACGG